GUUCCUAUCGUACAAACUACAAUGCUUUAUCUGGAGUUGCCUGUAUAAUUGGAGCGAAAACUAAGAAAAUUCUUUACAUGGGGGUUAAAAAUAAAUACUGUUUCGUCUGUACUAGGGCAAGUACUCCAGUAGAACAUUCUUGUUUCAAAAAUUGGGAUAGAAGUUCCACGGCAAUGGAAGCUGAAAUAAUCGCCGAAGGGUUUCAAUCAUCUAUUAAAAGUCAUAAUUUGAUCUAUGGCAAAAUUAUUGGGGAUGGGGACAGCACUGUAUAUAAAAAAGUUGUUGAGAAUUGUCCAAAGAUACCAAAUUCCCCAUUCAUCUCAGGAGAAUAGUAACUAAUACAGAUGUUUUGGGUCGCUUCCGAAACGCGAUAACGAAAGCUAUUGCCUUUAGAAAACAGGGUCCUGAUGCUGAAAAUACAAAAGUCG